GUGAGGAAUAUUGGUCAAUGGGCGAGAGCCUGAACCAGCCAAGUCGCGUGAAGGAAGAAGGUUCUAUGGAUUGUAAACUUCUUUUGUAAGGGAAUAAAAAAGAGUACGUGUACUCUAUUGUAUGUACUUUACGAAUAAGGAUCGGCUAACUCCGUGCCAGCAGCCGCGGUAAUACGGAGGAUCCGAGCGUUAUCCGGAUUUAUUGGGUUUAAAGGGUGCGUAGGCGGACUUAUAAGUCAGCGGUGAAAGUUUGCAGCUUAACUGUAAAAUUGCCGUUGAAACUGUUAGUCUUGAGUGUAAAUGAGGUAGGCGGAAUGUGUUGCGUAGCGGUGAAAUGCUUAGAUAUAACACAGAACACCAAUUGCGAAGGCAGCUUACUGGGAUACAACUGACGCUGAGGCACGAAAGCGUGGGGAUCAAACAGGAUUAGAAACCCGUGUAGUCC
rnacentral:rRNA from 1 species